CAAAUGACUCUCGGCAAUGGAUAUCUCGGCUCUUGCAUCGAUGAAGAACGUAGUGAAAUGCGAUACUUGGUGUGAAUUGCAGAAUCUCGUGAACCAUUGAGUCUUUGAACGCAAGUUGUGCCCGAGGCCUUCUGGUCGAGGGCACGCCUGCUUGGGCGUCAUG
rnacentral:rRNA from 1 species